rnacentral:rRNA from 1 species
AACCAGCACCUCAAGUGGUCAGGAUGAUUAUUGGGCCUAAAGCAUCCGUAGCCGGCUCUGUAAGUUUUCGGUUAAAUCUGUACGCUUAACGUACAGGCUGCCGGGAAUACUGCAGAGCUAGGGAGUGGGAGAGGUAGACGGUACUCGGUAGGAAGGGGUAAAAUCCUUUGAUCUAUUGAUGACCACCUGUGGCGAAGGCGGUCUACCAGAACACGUCCGACGGUGAGGGAUGAAAGCUGGGGGAGCAAACCGG